CAGCUUCAGCUGUACAUAAAGGAGCCCUGGUAGCUUCUGCUGAGACUUUUCAGUAGAAAAUCCUUCAAAAAAGAAAAAAGAAAGAAAGAAGCAGCUAUUUUGAAGACUGACUUUCUAAAAUUAUAUUUAGCCUCC
rnacentral:lncRNA from 1 species